GCCCGGGUGGUGGAAUUGGUAGACACACAGGACUUAAAAUCCUGGGGCCUCACAAGGCCGUGCGGGUUCAAGUCCCGCCCUGGGCA
rnacentral:tRNA from 1 species